UACGUAGGGUCCGAGCGUUGUCCGGAAUUACUGGGCGUAAAGAGCUCGUAGGUGGUUUGUCGCGUUGUCCGUGAAAACUCACAGCUCAACUGUGGGCGUGCGGGCGAUACGGGCAGACUGGAGUACUGCAGGGGAGACUGGAAUUCCUGGUGUAGCGGUGAAAUGCGCAGAUAUCAGGAGGAACACCGGUGGCGAAGGCGGGUCUCUGGACAGUUCCUGACACUGAGACACGAAGGCCAGGGGAGCAAACGGG
rnacentral:rRNA from 1 species